rnacentral:rRNA from 1 species
GACAGAGGAUGCAAGCGUUAUCCGGAAUGAUUGGGCGUAAAGCGUCUGUAGGUGGCUUUUUAAGUCCGCCGUCAAAUCCCAGGGCUCAACCCUGGACAGGCGGUGGAAACUACCAAGCUGGAGUACGGUAGGGGCAGAGGGGGGUAGAAUUCCACGUGUAGCAGUGAAAUGCGUAGAGAUGUGGAGGAACACCGAUGGCGAAGGCAGCCCCCUGGGUCAAGAUUGACGCUCAUGCACGAAAGCGUGGGGAGCAAACAGG